rnacentral:sRNA from 1 species
AGGAUGAUAAUGAUGAUGAAGCAGAGUUUGAGA